rnacentral:tRNA from 1 species
AAAAAUUUAGUUAAUAUCUAUAACAUCAAUUUGUCAUAUUGAAAUAAAUUUCAUUAUUAAUUUUUA